GAUUCUCUCCUUCGAAUUGACGCUGAAUUCAUCAAAUUCACUCUUAAUGUCAUGCUAAUUUUGACAAUACUAUGCCAGGGCAUUUAUGGAGUCAGAAUUACCAACUUUUAAAGAGAAAAACCCUCAACUGGAGCUGGUCACCGAACUCAUUCGUGGACAGCAUCCACAUUUGAAGGCCUUUUUACAAGAACAAAAACGAGCGGGUGGUAUGCAUGAAGAAUUUGACUCCUGAAGAUAUCCUCCUUCAUGCAACCAGGCUAAGAAACGCUUUGGGAAGAAAGGUGGUGAAAUUGAAGACGAGGCAUGCAACUAAACACCCUAGUGUGCAAGGUACAUGGACAACUGAGGUGAAAUUUUGAGACACAAUAGUACUCUCUUUUUUGCUGUAUUUGGCCAUGAUGGUAACUUUUUCUAGAACAUUCCAUCUCAUUGGAGGUCAGUGGAACUUCUAUGUUAUGGACAAAUCCUAAUGAUGUUUGAAUCAUUGAGUAUGAAUUGAAUACUGCCUCUACUUGUAUGAUGUGUUGAAAGCAU